UCCUACGGGAGGCAGCAGUGGGGAAUAUUGCACAAUGGGCGCAAGCCUGAUGCAGCGACGCCGCGUGGGGGAUGAAGGCCUUCGGGUUGUAAACUCCUUUCGCUAGGGACGAAGCUUUUGUGACGGUACCUAGAUAAGAAGCACCGGCUAACUACGUGCCAGCAGCCGCGGUAAUACGUAGGGUGCGAGCGUUGUCCGGAAUUACUGGGCGUAAAGGGCUCGUAGGUGGUUUGUCGCGUCGUCUGUGAAAUUCUGGGGCUUAACUCCGGGCGUGCAGGCGAUACGGGCAUAACUUGAGUGCUGUAGGGGUAACUGGAAUUCCUGGUGUAGCGGUGAAAUGCGCAGAUAUCAGGAGGAACACCGAUGGCGAGGGCAGGUUACUGGGCAGUUACCGACGCUGAGGAGCGAAAGCAUGGGUAGCGAACAGGAUUAGAUACCCUGGUAGUCCAUGCUGUAAACGGUGGGCGCUAGGUGUGAGGGUUUUUCUACGAUUCUCGUGCCGUAGCUAACGCAUUAAGCGCCCCGCCUGGGGAGUACGGCCGCAAGGCUAAAACUCAAAGGAAUUGACGGGGGCCCGCACAAGCGGCGGAGCAUGUGGAUUAACUCGAUGCAACGCGAAGAACCUUACCUGGGCUUGACAUACACGAGAUCGCUGCGGAGAUGUAGUUUCCCUUUUGUGGUUGGUGUACAGGUGGUGCAUGGUUGUCGUCAGCUCGUGUCGUGAGAUGUUGGGUUAAGUCCCGCAACGAGCGCAACCCUUGUCUUAUGUUGCCAGCAUUUGGUUGGGGACUCAUGAGAGACUGCCGGGGUUAACUCGGAGGAAGGUGGGGAUGACGUCAAAUCAUCAUGCCCCUUAUGUCCAGGGCUUCACACAUGCUACAAUGGUCGGUACAACGCGUUGCGACACUGUGAGGUGGAGCGAAUCGCUGAAAGCCGGUCUUAGUUCGGAUUGGGGUCUGCAACUCGACCCCAUGAAGUCGGAGUCGCUAGUAAUCGCAGAUCAGCAAUGCUGCGGUGAAUACGUUCCCGGGCCUUGUACACACCGCC
rnacentral:rRNA from 1 species